UACUUCUUUCUUCCUUGAUGGCUUCCAAUCUGCACUUCAUGCUUCUUGAUACAAAUAAUCUUAAUGUCCUUAUUUCCGACAGGUGCAUACGAGAAAGGCGUUGAUAGAGUUCACCCUGGAUUAUGACUACGGAGGACCCAACCCUAGGCAUGAUCCCAGGAAAGGAAAGCCAGGCAGGGGUCUGUAGCUUGGAUUCUCCUCUAUGAGAGAGAUUACUGCAUAAGAAGAGCCAACCAGCUAUACUCUCUUCCUACGGUACUUAAAAAUCUUUAUAUCUAUUGCAGCUAUACACCGAGCAACAGAGGUUAGGAUCCAGAUAUGGUUUUUGUUUUGAUAGUGUGGCAAAGAAGGGAUGUAAUAAAAUAGUUAGUUUGCCAUUGAGUUGCUGUAGUGCUAUGAAAUAACAUUACAGUUUGAGCAUAUAAUGAAUGGAAGGGAGAAGGUUUGUUGUUGUUGGUUGUCUAAAUUUCGACCUUUUACUUUUUUUUCUCUACGCGUUCAAAUUUGUGUUCGAUCGAUUACUUGACGACACAUGAAGAGUUCAUGAGGUGAUGAUUUCUGAAACCCUCGCUCGGUUCGUAAAAGUAAUGAUAAGAGAACAAAUAGAUAAAUAGGGAAUCUUUCAUUUUUAGUAUUUUGGACUACACUUACAAUUCGUGUAUGACCGACCGCCUGCAAGCGAUUGAAAACAGAACAUAAUUGAAUGGAAAGAGUUUAAACCCCAUAAAUUAGAUGUCCAAAUGAGCAUUUAUGCAUCUGACCAUGACAAAGGUUAGAUGGGAUUCAUCAUAACACCCAAAGAAGAGAUGGAACUAUGACCAAUGCGAGAACAAGAAAUCUCUGACAAAUAAAAGCAGCGUGUACAAAGUAAAUUUCAAUUUAUCGAGAAGAUGCGAGCCAGCAUGCGGUGACCAUGGAUCUAUCCACAAUCCACAACUAUGUACAGUUCGUCGACGCUUUGUUUCAAACAAGAAGGAAAGAGGACAUCCAGAUUCCUAAAGAAACCACGCUUAUUGUCGCCAAAGCUUGACUUAUUUCAUACAGGUAGUUUGGCCCCUGCUCCGGCAAGUUCUGCCAAUCUGUCUUCCUGCACGUAUACAAUGCACAUAUUAUGAACCCAAGGAUCAUAGUGUGACAGCAACACUUCAAUAAUUAUCAAGUUAUGAAGUAUGUAUAUUCUUCAAUAAUUAUUCAAUAAUGCACGUAUACAAUGCCAAUCUGUCUUUCGCAACUCUCUCCUUGUACCACUAUGUCAUGUGUUUGAUCAGUCACCGAUUUAGAAAGGAUGGUGCUGCUUCUCGUCGCCUAACAAUUUGUAAGUUGAUACAUAGGCACAAGAUAUUUUCAUCAUAUGAGUUUCUUAUUAUUGUCGAGAAGAUUUUGUAUGUGACCCAGCCACAUUACACCCAAAGAUAAUGAAGAACGAAGAGAAAGGUGUCAUGUCCCAUAUUCACGGUCUGUUCAUCCACAUUCAUAGCUUGUUCAUCGAUAUGGGUACAAGCUCCGUUCAUCAUUUUAGUCCCAUUAUCACUAAGAUAUAGAAUAAUUUGGGGUCCUGCAUAACUAAAAUAUGAAAAUCUCACAAGUAUCUUGGUGCAAUCUUUUUUGUUUUACCUUCUUUGUUAUUUUGAUUUCAAUAUUAUCCAGAAAUCAUACCAAAUGGUUUAUGCUGUUAUUUAAUAGAGUGUUUCAACUACUUCACUUCAUGACCAAGUGGAAAUAAUACAUGACCAAACUCCAAACCAUGCACCCCCCAAAACAAUCAAAACCAAGAUGAAUUUCCAGCCUUUGUGGUCUCUAUUCUUUUUCUUCCCCUCGACAGUUUAAGAGAAGACAUGAUAUUUCUUUUAGUUGGAUAUUUAGUUCUUUCCCAUCCAUGCUUUUUCUCUUUUUGCUCGUAAGCAACACUGAGAAAACACCUUGCCGAAAGUAUUAUAUUUUCUGCCAUCCAAACCUCAAAUCUUUUUAAUUCAUGUUUUGCAUGUGAGUUUGUGAAUCAGCAAGCAACUCAAAUGAUCAUAUGAAAUACUCGAGAACUUUGCAAAGCAACUAAAACAGUGAAAAGCUACUUUCAGAAAAAAAAGGUGCAAGAUAAGUACCCCAAGUCAGCUAUAACUAUGCUUAUGUUGUCUUGUGAUCGUCGGUCCUGCAGAAUAAAAGUGAUUAUCAGACAGAUAUAAUCUCUGAUGAGAAUUGCCCUAAAAUGAGAGACAUGUCCAGUAACAAGCCAUCAGGAAAGAGAAGUACCAGAGCUACACGAGCUAGUGCUUCACAAGCUAACUAAACAAAACCAAGAGAAUGAAGCUUAGUAAGGUAUACAGAAUCCUCAAAGCCAGAUAAUAAGAACUGAGAUGACAGAUAUGCACCUGAACAUCACCAUGUUGACGAAGCUGAUCUCUGACAAAAGAAACCGCAUCUGAGCUGAACAAACCAGUUGCUUUCUUAUGUCAGGAAUCAUUCAUCAGGAAGAAAGAGAGCAAUUAUCUUAAUCAUCUUUGCAUCAGGGAGCACAACAUUUGAGUCCACUUAGAGAAAGUCACGCUCUUAGUGGGAGGCUAAUUUCUGUAAGCACACUCGUGUACAUGGUUUAAUUUUAUUACCAUUUCUCCAGCAGAAGUGCAAGAUAUCAGUCAAAGUGCAUCAUUCAAAUAUCCAAAGACAAAAGGAAAUCUAAUUCCAACUGAUACAUUUGUUGAUGUGAUCAUAGCCAUCCGGUAAAUAUUGCUCAUGUUGUUCAUGGAUGUGCAAUUAUGUGUUUCUUCAGUAUUAAUUAAAGAUAUCUACUUCAAGGCACUUAUGCUACACAAACCUUUUCAUAUAGUCCCAUAGACCAUCAGAAGCCAGUAAUACAAACUCCACAUCAGAGCCAAGUGCAACUUGAUUUAUGUCCGGUGAAGAGGUUACUAGAUCUCCUUUGAACUGGAUUCUACAAAGAACUUAAAUGUAUUAAUGCAUUUGAUACAUGCCCUCUCAAAAGGAUGGUUAUUAAUACAAACAUGAAAAAAAAAUUUCAAUCAUAAUUUUUUCAUUCCAUAUAGCCGACCCCAAAUAGGCGGGACUUUACGGCUUUGUUGUGUUGUUGUUAUUGAGUCUUUUCAUUCCAUACCAAAAGAAAGUAAAAGAUUAUUGAAAAUUGAGAAUAAUAAACAUGGGGUAAGAAUGUUGGCAACUUUAUAUUUGUCUCAGUAUAUUACCGGGAGACAAAUUUAUCACUCCAUCGCCCCUCCUCAACUCCUUUCAUCAGCAUCCUAAACAGAAAAGAUUGAGACAGCAAGGUUACUUUAUCAUUUUUUACAAAUAUUGGUAUUAACAAAAUUUAAAUUUUCCUUUAGACAAUUUCAGUAAAUUUUAGGUACAGAAAAACAUAGGAGAGUUUUGAGGAACAAACUCAUUCUUUUUCGACUUGAAGCGCAUGUCUCCAAAAGCACGGGAUACAGCAAGAUCCCCACAAAUUCGUCCAUCAACAAUCUACAGAAGUCAGGUAUUGGUUAGAACAAAAUGUAUAGAUGACACACGAAACAAAUGCUUCUUCACACUAGCUUAAAUAGUAUCAUAGCAUUUUCUUUAUAAUUAAAUCUAGGCAAAGAGAUUAAAAGACAAAUAAAGAUUCUGCACACAAUCUUAAAUGAUAUCAUAGCAUUUUCUUUAAAAAGGAAAUGUAGGUGAAAAAAAAAAUUAAAAACGUUCUUUAAGAAGCCAGAAGUGUAGUACUUCUGUGUUUAAUAUGUAAUAAUGAAUUUUUUAGCAUUAUAUGAAUAUAAUGUUUGUGUGCCUUAAUUCCAUAGGAGAGUUUGCAAAAUCUAUGCGAACCUGUGACCUUGAAAAAUCAGGUAAACCAGACAGAGUUUCUGGAGAACUAGAUCCACUGACAGCUUUAACCUGCCUGCAUUUACAUGUGUUCUUUAUGGCUGAAGAUAUUGAUGAUAUGCUGAACCUUGACCAAACCAGUUUAGAGAUUUAUGAUUCAAUUUGAUCACAAAUAAGAACCUAAACCAAGUCCAGCAUACUAGGGCCUAAAUUUACUGGACUAACAGACACCUUAAGUAAGAAUAGAUGAAAGAUGAUAACCCAACCACCCGGUUCUGAGACCUUGUCUUGGUAUUCUACAUACAUGGUCAAGUGGGAAUGAAAAAUUAGGAUAGUGACAGUAACCCUAGAGUACUCUUGGAAAUGGUAAGAGUAUCUUUAUAAGCCAUAUCUACUAAUUAUUUGGUAGAUUUAACUGUCUCAUUAUGAAUUUUGAGGGUAGGCCAUAGAUUUAGAUAUCUGAUUAUGAAUUUUGAGCUAUCUCAUUAUGAAUUUGGAGGGUCGACCUCAAUGUUAUGAAGGUUAGUCCAUUACCCUGGAUGCCAAGGACUGGGAGAUGGUAACAACCUCUCUGAAUGUGGAGCAAGACUAUGUAUCUUAGAUAUGAAAACCACCGCUCUAAUUGUGGGUGUUAGACCACACACACACAAUGCUAUGAGAGAUGGAAACGACCUCUCCGAAUGUGGAGCAAGACUAAUAUAUAUAUGAAUAUAUAUAUAUAUAUAUAUAUAUAUAUAUAUGUAUGUAUAUAUGCAUAUAUAUAUGUAUGUAUAUAUAUAUGUAUACAUAUAUAUGCAUAUAUAUAUGUAUAUAUAUAUAUAUAUAUGUAUACAUAUAUAUACAUAUAUAUAUGCACCACACUAAACCCUCAUUGGUGUCAGCCUCUUGCACCAGGCUACAAUAGGUUUGGGUGGCUAAAACCUAGGUCUGGCUUGGCAGUCGGACAUGCAGUAAAAAUGCCUGGCAUGACCAACCUGAAGUUAGUUUUUUGUGAUGUUAUUUGCUCAAAACCAGGUUCUUUUCUUUUGGGCCACUCAAUCCAGCCUUCUUUGAGCCAAUUUUUACCAUAUAAAACAUAUGAUACAUACUAGAUCAGCCAGGUUUGACCAAAGUUUUCAACAUAACAUAAAACAUAAUAUCUAGAUUACAAAAUUACAAUUUUCAUAUGAAAAUUAUUAACUUGAUAUAUAACUUGGAACCCACUAAGUACUGUUAACCUAGCAAUUCAAAUCAUAUUGUCUGGAAUCUGGAUGCCCAAACUGAACCGGCUUAAAUUUAAAAUCAGACAGUGUCUGAACAGACUCAAGACUUCAGACAAAGGUUUUACACUGGAAGUGACAUUUCUCAAAUUGGAACAAUCAGACAAAUUGACAAAGAUUUACUACACCUGGUUGGCUGUUCUAUUAAUGCUUCUUAAAAUAAUCAAUAUCUAAAAUGUGUGCGUUAAAUGUGCUGUGUUCCCCUACUAAUGCAUUUGAUGGUGCAAAAUGCAAAUCAUCUGCAGUCCCUACAUUUACCAGUAAAGAUCUAGUGAUCGUAAUGUAAAGUUUGUUAUUAAGAGAAUUCUUAAUAAAAGUCUACUGAACAAUAUCCCACCCCUUGAAAACAGUUGGUGAAAUAAGAUCUUGUAAACAAAUCAGAAAAUAAGGAUCAUUAUGACUUAGGAGAAAAUUAAUUCAACAUAAGAACGUCAAGUGAUGUAGUUGGCUUGAUAUCAUUAUAUAUCACAUGAUUGUUGGGUAAAACUCAUCUCCGCGACAUACGAACGCGAGCAAAAUAAGGAAACACACCCAUCCACCUGCUGCUCUGACACGCUUGAUUUCUUCAAGAGAAACUCUAUUUUUUCCAUAAGGUCGAUGUGGAUUUGUCAGCACUUCAGCUUUCCCAGUACGAGAUAUUACCUACAUCAUAAAUUUCAAUAAAUUAGCAGCAAACCAGAGAUUUAACUUUAACAUUUGCGUCUAAAUAAGAAUGUAGUUCAGUCAUUGUUAUGUGGGAUAUGGAACUAUGAUAUGACUAGAAUACCCUAAACAGAAUAAGAACAGGGGAUACCACACAUGAGUCGCCAAUAUGUGAGAUGAUCAGGAUGUCAUUCCUGAUAAACAUAACUGUUGCUGUUGCACCAGAUUCGACCUCCUUCCCUGUCUGUUCAAGCCUUUGCAAAAAAAAAACCAACAAGUUGUAAAUCUUAAAUGAUGAGACAAAACCACAGGCCUUUAAGUUUCAGGAAAUACAAAAACUGAGCAAAAGUUCAAUGUCGGUAACUUUUCGUUAGUUGUACAAGAGCUCACCAAAUCAAGAGCUUUGCGUCGACGUCCUCAAAGGCUUUCUGAAUUGCAUCUCUUACAGCAGCGAAGUUCUUGCUGGUCAAGAGCAACCCACCUUGCAACGCUAGUACACAUUCUUUGUACAGUUCCUCCCUGCAUGACAUAUUAAGCAUCUAUCGAUCCCAAUCGAUACUCAAACAGAGGAAUGAUAUCAUUACCACCAUAUUUAUUACAAUAUUAUCAUCAUCAUCAUCAAAACUUUCACCGAAAAAUGCUUUCAGCUUCUCGAUAUAAAAAUUCGUAAUUGGAUAUGAAGAGACCAAAAUUUCCAUCUUAACCGAGGGUUUGGAUAAGCUAUCAACUACAGGAUGAGACAGCAACCACGUCUACACCACCAGAAACGAACUAAACAAGGUGAAGUAAACCUGAGGAACUCCACGGAGGACAAGCCGGCGUGGCCGUCGAGGACGGCAGCGAAGGAGAAGCCCGCGAGGCCGUCGGAUCGGAGGACGACGUCGUCCUCCAUCUCCGAUCGCGCGCCCUGGAGCUUGCUCGAUCCCCACCGGAUCCCGGAGACGCUGGCCAGCGGCGCGUCGACGGCGAUGGCCGAGCACCACGUCCCCCUCGCCCUCCUCCUCCUCCGACCUCCUCCGCCGGCUCCAUCGCACGGCAGCGAUCGAGGCAGCCGCGGGCUCACCAGCGCCAUGCGAGCGACAGAGCGAGUGGUUUCCGCUCGCGGAGCUGAGGAAGGAGGGGGGAUAACAAAACGACGGUUAAUAAAAAAAGAAGACAAUAAUAACAAAAUAAUUUCUUUUAAAGAAAAUAAUAAUAAAAAAAAGGGUGUGGCAUGGAAGACCGCGAGAGUGGCGAUGAGGCCGCUCGCCGCUUCUCCGCCGUACGAUUCGUGAACGCCCAUCAUAUAAAAUAAUCGUGAAGGCCCACAACGCAUCUGGGUCCACCGACACGUGGAUCAUUCGCCCCCCGCUAACUUUCGUUCGAGAUUCAGCUCCUGUCGGGCCCACCGGUGCUACCGUUACGAUCGGAGCAUCCCUUGCCGUCCAUUGAUGAAGUCUACGUGGCCAUGAUCGAUCAGCAAAUAAGCACGAGGAAUACAAUUCAAAUAUUACCAUAAUAUAUAAAUAAAUAAAAAUAUAAUUCACUGUAGAAUGAAUGCAGUAGUGACAAGAAUAACUAAGCUUCCUUUUUGCAUGCAUCGGAAUUAUCGAUUAAUACGAAAACCAGCGUAGUUAACUGUCGAUUUCGAAAUAUCUCGGUGACGAAUUGAUGUCGACGAUGCAGCGUUAUCAUACUGGUUAUAAAUUGAGUAUUCGGUGGUACUUUGCCUAACCAAGCUUCAUAUUUCAUAUCAGUGCAACAAGGGAGGAACUCUGAAGCCAUACGUGUCUCGGCGGAACCUCUACUGGCAUAUCUAUCUUUUUACGUUGAAUAGUUAAGCGACAGUCGAUGAUAGUUUCUCACAUCAAUAACAGUGACGUAAAGCGAUAAGGAAGUCCAUCGUGAUGUUUAUCAAAGCCAUAAAUGCGAGUGAAUGAUUCCUCGAAAUGUUCUGUGCAGGUCUACUAAUAAUACAAGUCAAAUCGAUAACUUCUCGUACGCAUCUCUCCUUCACCGGAAAGAGACGGAGACCCUCACAUGGCUUGACAAGCCCAGAAUAGCAAAGCAGAAGAGUUGGUGCAGAUCACAACACCUUAGGGAGGACGGUAGUAAGAAACUUCUUGGGCCGGCCUAACAUGCACUACUUGCUCUUUUCACUCUCAUCUCUUUUACGGUAACGAUACGGCAAAGCCUACUUUUGUUGUCCAUUUCUAUCAACAGUAACCCCCCCACCCCCACAUUCCAUGUCCUACUUUAACCGACCCGACCGGAGAGACCUGAUCCCACCUCCCUCUCCUCUCUAUAUGAACGUUUGCCAUUGGCCUUGGGGUUUGGAGAUAUCACCACGGUGUUGUGUUCUUCUUCUCGGGAAGAUGGUGGUUUCAGCGGACACCAUCCGCACGGCUGUUGGCAUCAUGGGUAGACUCGGUUCAUGCUUUCAAACCCGAGCCAUCGUGUUUUUCCUCAAAAAUUAUUGCUUUGAAUGUUGCAGGGAACGCCACCGCUCUGGUGCUCUUCUUCUCGCCAGCGUAAGCACGAGCACUAGUACUCCUCGGUGUUCUUCAUGAUGUCGUGCCACCGGAUAUACUGCUACUGAUCUUUGAUCCGUUGCCAGUCCGACGUUUUGUAGGAUAUGGAAGAGUAGAAGCGUGGAGCAAUUCCCGGCCACCCCGUACCUGGCAACCCUACUCAACUGCAUGAUGUGGGUGCUGUACGGGCUGCCCAUGGUGCACCCCCACAGCACCUUGGUUCUCACCAUCAAUGGCUCGGGCCUUGUCAUCGAGCUUAUUUACGUGCUCGUCUUCCUUGGCUGCUCCCACGGAGACCAGCGGCUUCGUGUGUUGUUGGUGCUGCUACUCGAGAUUGCUUUCGUGGGUGCAGUGGGUGCCCUCAUCCUCACUCUUGUCCACAGCCACGAGCGCCGGUCGUUGAUAGCUGGAGUGCUCUGCGUCAUAUUUGGGGCCGCCAUGUACGCCGCUCCCUUGGCUGCCAUGGUAUGUUCUUGGAUGGUUAGUGUGAUCACGUAGAGCACAAGUGGUUGUUGGUGGCACCACUAGACUAGACUUGCAUGCCGACCUUUUACUUCUUCUUCUUGUUUCGACUCCCUACCGAGAUGUCACCGAAAUGAAUCGAAGAACAAGAACGCAAGACCGCUCUUGUGCUUUUUUGUUCCUUGUUUCGUCUUCAUCUGGUACUGCUGAAGUAGGUGAUUUGGAUCUGGAUGGGUGCAGAGACAGGUGAUACGGACAAGGAGCGUGGAGUUCAUGCCUCUCCCCCUUUCACUGGCCUCUUUCGUCAAUGGCCUUUGUUGGACCACCUACGCCACCAUCCGCUUUGACCUCUUCAUCACCGUAAGCCGCUCCUCUUCUUCCCAAACACCGAUACUCGACAACUCUGUCCCUUCAUUUCACAUUAUCUACCAAUAAUUUCGAUCACAUAGUUCCGCCUUGGAAACUUUUCUUCUCCAGAUACCGAAUGGCUUGGGAGUGGCGUUUGCAGUCGCUCAGCUCGCAUUACACGCGGUGUACCACGGAUCAACUGCACGGCAAAAGAAAGGAGGGAGAAGGGAAGCAGAGAUCGGGCUGGUGAAGCCAAAUGGAAGAAGCUUGGAAGAGGAGGUGGCAAAAGGG
rnacentral:lncRNA from 1 species